rnacentral:rRNA from 1 species
UACGAAGGGGGGCGAGCGUUGUUCGGAUUUACUGGGCGUAAAGGGCGCGCAGGCGGUCCUGUUUGUCGAGUGUGAAAGCCCCGGGCUCAACCUGGGAAUGGCGCUCGAAACGGCGGGACUAGAGAUCGGGAGAGGAGAGUGGAAUUCCUGGUGUAGCGGUGAAAUGCGCAGAUAUCAGGAAGAACACCCGUGGCUAAGGCGGCUCUCUAGUACGGUACUGACGCUGAGACGCGAAAGCGUGGGGAGCGAACAGG